ACGUAGGGUGCAAGCGUUAAUCGGAAUUACUGGGCGUAAAGCGUGCGCAGGCGGUGAUGUAAGACAGUUGUGAAAUCCCCGGGCUCAACCUGGGAACUGCAUCUGUGACUGCAUUGCUGGAGUGCGGCAGAGGGGGACGGAAUUCCGCGUGUAGCAGGGAAAUGCGUAGAUAUGCGGAGGAACACCGAUGGCGAAGGCAAUCCCCUGGGCCGGAACUGACGCUCAUGCACGAAAGCGUGGGGAGCAAACAGGA
rnacentral:rRNA from 1 species